UCAUUGGUUCGAUUCGUAUUAACGAAAAUUCCCGCCGUAAUGUAUGUAGCUCGUGCUAAAAUGCGUUUCGCCUGAUUACAUUUUUGACGUUAACUCAUUUUUUAAUGAUCAUAAAUGAUUACAUACGUUGAUUUAUGUAAACUGACUUGCUGAAGAAAUUGAUGGAAUAUUUCUAAAUCGAUUGGAGAAAAGUAUUAAAACAGAGAAAGGAUAUCUUUUUAAAUAUUUACAUACAUACAUAAAAUAGGGAAAAAACAUACCAAAUCUUUGUAUAUCGUCCAGUGCAUCGUCCUUCCAAAUUUUGUUCUCAUCAGAAAAUUUGAAUUCUUCAAAAUCUGGAUCUAAUGAAUUGUUCAUUUCCAAUCUGUUUUAACCUCUCGUGUUGUAUUUUAUCCUCAUACUUCAUUGAGGGGAAGAAGCGUCGAUAAGAAGUUUUCCGGGUAUAGCUUUUCCAUU